rnacentral:lncRNA from 1 species
ACACAUAGCAUACAUUUACACAUAGAUCUACACAUUUACUUGUAUUCUCCCCCAUAAAAACUCAUAAAAACCGAAAAGAAAGGGGUAUGAAGCUCACCUUGAGUUGUGGAUCGGUUUUGAAGAGGAAAAGAGAAGAGUUUGUUGUUAUUUUCGGCCCUAGCAACCUUUCUUGGAAGAUCUCGAAUUUAAAGAGCUUCUAAGGUGCAAGAUCACAAGAUUGAAUGGAUUUAGAAGAGAUUUUGAUGAAAUGAAGGGAGUUAGAUCAUAAGUUAGCCAUUAACUUACCUUAGAUGAUGAAUUACUUGAUGAAGAUCCUUAGACUUCAAGCCAAAUUUUCGAGAUUUUGGAUGAAGAAGAGUGGAUGAUUCUUGAGUGAUUU